rnacentral:rRNA from 1 species
CAGUCGCCACGGUAAAACGUAGGGUCCGAGCGUUGUCCGGAAUUAUUGGGCGUAAAGGGCUCGUAGGCGGUUUGUCGCGUCGGGAGUGAAAACCAGCAGCUUAACUGCUGGCCUGCUUUCGAUACGGGCAGACUUGAGGCAUUCAGGGGAGAACGGAAUUCCUGGUGUAGCGGUGAAAUGCGCAGAUAUCAGGAGGAACACCGGUGGCGAAGGCGGUUCUCUGGGAAUGUUCUGACGCUGAGGAGCGAAAGUGUGGGGAGCGAACAGGAUUAGAUACCCCCGUAGUCCCUGUCUCUUAUAC